rnacentral:rRNA from 1 species
UACGGAGGGGACUAGCGUUGUUCGGAAUUACUGGGCGUAAAGCGCACGUAGGCGGAUUUGUAAGUCAGGGUGAAAUCCCGGGGCUCAACCUCGGAACUGCCUUUGAUACUGCAAAUCUCGAGUCCGGAAGAGGUGAGUGGAAUUCCUAGUGUAGAGGUGAAAUUCGUAGAUAUUAGGAAGAACACCGGUGGCGAAGGCGGCCCACUGGCUCGACACUGACGCUGAGGUGCGAAAGCGUGGGGAGCAAACAGGG